CGACAAGCGGUGGAGCAUGUGGUUAAUUCGAAGCAACGCGAAGAACCUUACCAGGCCUUGACAUGCAGAGAACUUUCCAGAGAUGGAUUGGUGCCUUCGGGAACUCUGACACAGGUGCUGCAUGGCUGUCGUCAGCUCGUGUCGUGAGAUGUUGGGUUAAGUCCCGUAACGAGCGCAACCCUUGUCCUUAGUUACCAGCACGUUAUGGUGGGCACUCUAAGGAGACUGCCGGUGACAAACCGGAGGAAGGUGGGGGAUGACGUCAAGUCAUCAUGGCCCUUACGGCCUGGGCUACACACGUGCUACAAUGGUCGGUACAAAGGGUUGCCAAGCCGCGAGGUGGAGCUAAUCCCAUAAAACCGAUCGUAGUCCGGAUCGCAGUCUGCAACUCGACUGCGUGAAGUCGGAAUCGCUAGUAAUCGUGAAUCAGAAUGUCACGGUGAAUACGUUCCCGGGCCUU
rnacentral:rRNA from 1 species